rnacentral:lncRNA from 1 species
ACCGGCCUUUGCUGCAUUCCUUUAUCACGCUGUUCAAGCUGAGAGACAACAGUGAGUUUCAGGUGACCAACUCCAUGACUCGGGGCAAGCAUUGCAGCACUUGGUCCUAUACCCUGAUCCCAACAAACAAGCCUGGGCAAUUCACCAGGGACAACAGAGGUAGAGACUGGAAGAUAACUCAUAAGACAAUAGACAGGUUCAUCUGCCUGACCAAGACCCAAAACCUCACAAAGAACAACCUUCUCUUCCCUGAUUUAACUGACUGGUUACUGGAUCCAAAAGUCUGCUGAAGAAGGAAACAGUUCCUGCCAGUAAAGCCUCAGCCUGCCAUUGCUCUCAACAUAAAUAAACACCCAGUGUGACUCUGGAA